rnacentral:tRNA from 1 species
UGCUGAUAUGGCUCAGUCGGUAGAGCGCACCCUUGGUAAGGGUGAGGUCCCCAGUUCGAUUCUGGGUAUCAGCACCAU